UCUUUGUUCUGUCUUCGGUCUCUUACCGACCCAUGUUGAUGUUCGUAGCACCAACAUAAAUCCCCACACACCCUUUCUUUUCAUAUCGUUCUUUUGAUUUCGCAAUGGCUAACAACAACAUGACCAACCACAAACCCACCACCACCAAGAAGGAAGCUCAGGCCUUACUCCUCGGCCGCUUUGAGGUCGGUAAGCUCCUUGGCCAUGGCACCUUUGCCAAGGUCUAUCAUGCCCGCAACGUCAAGACCGACGAGAGCGUCGCCAUCAAGGUUAUCGACAAGGAGAAGAUUCUCAAGGGUGGCCUCAUCGCCCACAUCAAGCGAGAGAUCUCCAUCCUCCGCCGCGUCCGCCACCCCAAUAUUGUCCAGCUUUUCGAGGUCAUGGCCACCAAGUCCAAGAUCUAUUUCGUCAUGGAGUUCGUCCGCGGCGGCGAGCUCUUCAACAAGGUCGCCAAGGGUCGCCUCAAGGAGGACGUCGCCCGCAAGUACUUCCAGCAAUUGAUCUCUGCCGUCGGAUUCUGCCAUUCCCGCGGCGUCUUCCACCGCGACCUCAAGCCCGAAAACCUUCUUCUCGACGAGAACGGCGAUCUCAAGGUCUCCGAUUUCGGUCUCAGCGCCGUUUCCGACCAGAUUCGCCAGGACGGGCUGUUCCACACGUUUUGCGGCACGCCGGCCUAUGUUGCGCCCGAGGUUUUGGCUCGGAAGGGGUACGAGGCGUCGAAGGUGGAUAUUUGGUCCUGUGGGGUUAUACUCUUCGUUUUGAUGGCCGGCUAUUUGCCCUUUCACGACCAGAACAUAAUGGCUAUGUACAAAAAGAUUUACAAGGGCGAAUUUCGAUGUCCGAGAUGGUUCUCUCCGUCGCUGACUCGGCUCCUUACCCUUCUUCUGGAUACAAAUCCGGAAACCCGGAUUACAAUCCCGGAGAUCAUGGAGAACAAGUGGUUUAAAAAAGGGUUUAAACUCAUCAAGUUCUAUAUCGAGGAUGACAAGCUUUGUAAUGUCGUGGACGAGGAGGAGGAGGCGGAUGAGAAUGAAAACUCGGUCUCGGACGAAUCCGAAUCGGACUCGGACUCAGGGUUCGAUACGAGGAUUACAAGGAGGGUGAAUACAUUGCCGAGACCGGCGAGCUUGAACGCGUUCGACAUCAUAUCGUUCUCGCGCGGGUUCGAUCUCUCCGGGUUGUUCGAGGAGGGAGGAGAGGAGGCGAGGUUCGUAUCGGGCGCACCGGUGUCCAAGAUUAUAUCGAAACUGGAGGAAAUCGCGAAACUGGUGAGCUUCACGGUGAGGAAGAAGGAUUGCCGGGUCAGCUUGGAGGGGUCGAGGGAGGGCGUGAAGGGACCGUUAACCAUUGCCGCCGAAAUUUUUGAGUUGACGCCGUCGUUGGUGGUGGUGGAGGUGAAGAAGAAAGGCGGAGAUAGAGGAGAAUACGAGGACUUCUGCAAUAGAGAAUUGAGACCCGGUAUGCAGAAUUUGAUGUUAGAGGAAGCCGCCUGUUCGUUUUCAUCUGCUUCAUUCCAAACACCUUCGGAAACUUCUUCAUUUCUACCUUCGGUUACUUCUUCAUUUCUACCUUCGGAUACUGAAUAAAGGAUAAAGGAAGAGAGAGAAAGAGAGGGAAAGAAGGGAGAAGGGAGAAGGGGCUUGUGGAAAGUUGGAUAUGUAUCAAUCAAUGGAGGCCUUUUGAGCAGUGGAGCUUAAUUUUGUGAAGGUGUUGACGCUAAGCACUAAGGUUUGAUAUGGAAACUUUGACAUUGGAGUGCAAUUUAGGCACAGACAUUCUGAUUUAGAGCUGCUUUGUACAGGGCUUUUUUUAAUUUUUUAUUUAAUGUCUGCUGAUAUUACCUU